rnacentral:lncRNA from 10 species
CGCCUGGGAGCGCCUCUCGCCCCGUCGCGUUUAUCGAGGAGACAGGUGAAAACUGAGGUUUAGAGAGGGUAAAUAACUUGCCCAAAAUCUGGAAAAGUUUGCCAACCCCUGGUCUUACUCCUCAUUAAGGUUUCCCUUCCUCUCCACCAUUCCCAAAUCUGAGUAUUCCAGAAGAGCUACUGUUUUUUUAAUGAUAUGGUAAAUUAAUUUCUAAAGGGAUUAAAAUGAAUACCUACCUGUUGUAAUGAAAAUAAAUGUAUAACAUAAAGCAAUCUGCAAAAUACUAAAGAAGAGGCAGUAAGAUAGGAGAAGAGAAAUGAAAGGCAGUGGAAUUGAAAUGAAUCAGUGGGCCGCCCAGGGCCCCAGGAUCUGGGCUAUAAAGGUUCCUACUUGGACCCUCAAAGAAAGAGUCACAGG